rnacentral:rRNA from 1 species
ACGGGGGGGGCAAGCGUUGUUCGGAAUUACUGGGCGUAAAGGGCUCGUAGGCGGCCAACUAAGUCAGACGUGAAAUCCCUCGGCUUAACCGGGGAACUGCGUCUGAUACUGGAUGGCUUGAGAUUGGGAGAGGGAUGCGGAAUUCCAGGUGUAGCGGUGAAAUGCGUAGAGAUCCGGAGGAACACCAGAGGCGAAAGCGGCGCUCUGGGCUGCACCUGACGCUGAACUGCGAAAGCCAGGGGAGCGAACGGGA